UCUUAGCAAAAAGGGAAAUGGUGUUUCAAA
rnacentral:piRNA from 1 species